rnacentral:SRP_RNA from 1 species
GCUGGGCGUGGUGACGUGCGCUUGUAAUCCCAGCUACUGGGGAGGCUGAGGCACGAGAAUUGCUUGAAUUCAGGAGGUGGAGGUUGCAGUGAGCUGAGAUCAUGCCACUGCGGUCUAGCCUGGGUGACAGAGUGAGAUCCUGUCUCAA